GCACGAUAAAACAGUACAGCUACUGUGCUGUAAUGUAGUCCAUGGCCAACACUGCUCAGUGCUGAGUGUGGCACCCGUGGUAAUUCGUGAGCGAGGUGCCUCCUUAGGCCUUUCCUGUGUUGCAUACCUAUCUCAUUGCUAAACUGCAUCUGGUUAGAAAGCCCAUCCACAUGCUCUUGUAUGGUCAAAAAGGAGAGACUUCUUCUAUACAGAACUCACUCAAUGCCCGGCAUGGGCACAUGGCAGGCUGACAGCCAAAAUGUGCCCACUAAGCCCCUAACAAAUGAAUCAUGAAUCUGGGUGACUGGAGAGACAAAUGUUUACCAUGGAAUGGUAACAAAAAAGUCUGGGCUUUUUGCCAUUUAGGAAAAAAAAAAAAAAAAGAAGUAUGUGAACCUUCUUAUCCUUUCCCAGAUAGAGCUCUGAGAAGGUGUAGUACAAUCAACUCAGUCUUUGGAGGGGCAUAUUGACAACAAAAUGAUACUUUGUAUAAUUUCACAAUUUUAUUGUGUGUGUGUGUGUGUGUGUGUGUGUGUGUGUGUGGUGAUUUUCUCUCUUGUGGUGACUGAUUUGCUUUACCAUAAAACGAAGUAGGAUGAUACUAUUAUAAUUUAUCCUUUCCUAUCACAUCGUGUUUUAGUUUAAGAUUAUAGAGCAAAUAGACUGUGUUAUUACUCAUUGAACACCAAGAAUAAAGAAAGAAUAAUAAAAGAUUUUUGAGCAUGGUUCUUUUCUCUGCUCACUAUCAAUUCUAGCUCUGCCACUAUCUGGCUGUGGGAUGUUUGGCAAGUUACUUUACAUCUUCUUCUAUAAUGUGGUCAUUGAGACUAGACAAUAUGUGUACAUGUAUUAAGUGCCUGGAACAGAUUAAUAAUAAAUGCCAGUUGAAAAUUAUUUAUUUGCAGAGGAUGAUGGUGGAUAGGAGGCAGGACUAGCUUGCAGUUCCUGCCCAGAUGCACAGAGCAGCGCGUGGAGACUCACAUAGUGAACUUUUGCUCCAAGAACUAUCACAGGAACAUAGCAGGAAAGCCGAGAGAAUCCACAGACCCUUUGAAGGAACGGAAUCACUGCUGCAGGCUCUCCAAGAUGCCAAAAAAACUAAACACCACUUUACUGGCCGAGGACUGCCUUUCCUGUGGAAGGAAAAGUUAUGCUAAGCUGAGUGCUAAAGUCAAAGAGCUGCAGAGCCACUCCUGCUGUUUUCAAUUAGCAUGCCAGUCCCAAUGGCAUGUCCGGCAGACGGUGUUUUAUUAAGGGUGGGUCAUCUCCUCCUCCAAGCCACGUGAACAGCCUGCGGUUCUACAUGCUUCCCUUGACCUUCCAGUCCCUCUGGAGUCGUGUGACUGCUGGAAGCUGAAGCCACAGCUGUCUGCCACUUGACUCCCAAAGCUCAGUGUGAUCUGCAAUCUUCCCUUGGGACAGAGAAGGAAAGCAAGUUGAUGGAAAGAAAUGUCUCUUUCUGAAAUAAAAUAGUUUCUUUUCCUUGAGCAUGUUUGAGAACUUAAAUGAAGGUAACGAGCAUACAGAGAUGUGGAAGGUUAGUCAUGUAAUAAUGCUCAGCAGGAAUCAGGUGGGAAGUUCUGGUCCUCUCAGCUAAGGGACUGGUUCUGGGCUAAAGGAGAGUGGCUCUUUACGAAUUAGGAUGGCAAUCAUACUGAAAAGCUCGGCAUAUAUGACUCUGGAGAAGAGUGAGCUGACCUGGAAUUUAGCCUAAAGAAGAGAAGGUUGAGGGUGAUUUAAAGAGGAACUCUGGAGCAGGAAAUGUCAUUAUAUUAGGAAUGAGGACCAGAUGUUCUCAAUCUUGUCAGAGCACAAAGUCGAGACAAAGAAUGACUUUAUAGAAUAAGGCAGAACUCCAUGACCGUUGUUAAACACUGGAAUGGGGUGUUCGUGGAGGCUGUGGAAUUCUCCAUAAAAAUAAUUCCUUUGUCUCAUAUGAGCAUUUGUGUGUAGGUUUGCCUUAAGAAUUAAAGAUUAAUGAAACAA
rnacentral:lncRNA from 1 species